UGGGGAGUAUUGGGCAAUGGGCGAAAGCCUGACCCAGCCAUGCCGCGUGAGUGAUGAAGGCCUUAGGGUUGUAAAACUCUUUCGCUAGUGAAGAUAAUGACGGUAACUAGUAAAGAAGCCCCGGCUAAUUUCGUGCCAGCAGCCGCGGUAAUACGCAAGGGGCUAGCGUUGUUCGGAAUUACUGGGCGUAAAGCGCGCGUAGGCGGGCUAUCAAGUUGGAGGUGAAAUGCCAGGGCUCAACCCUGGAACUGCCCUCAAAACUGCUAGCCUAGAGGUUGUGAGAGGAUAGUGGAAUUCCGAGUGUAGAGGUGAAAUUCGUAGAUAUUCGGAAGAACACCAGUGGCGAAGGCGACUGUCUGGCACAUUUCUGACGCUGAGGUGCGAAAGCGUGGGGAGCAAACAGGAUUAGAUACCCCCGUAGUCC
rnacentral:rRNA from 1 species